rnacentral:lncRNA from 1 species
AGUCUUCUCCUAGUGGCCUUCAGAUGAAGAUGUAGAACUCUCAGCUCCUCCUGCCUUGAUGAUAACGGACUGAGCCUCUGAACCUUGCUCUUCAGGACUAUGACCAUGCAGUGACAGGCUGAGGCUACCAUCCUGUCAUUAGAAGAGAUGGUGGAGUUGGAAGAGAAAGCGCUGAAUUUCCACUCCUGCAUGCACAGGGUUUUGCUGUGUAACCAAAGCUGCCUUCAUACUCUCAUAAGCCAGGCUGCCUUGAAUUCAGAGGUCCUCUUGCAUCAGCAUCCCAGAGGCUUAAGACAUACACUGGCUUCUAACAAACUGAAAAAAAAAAUCCACGUGCCGGGAAGGGAGCUCACUGCAC